rnacentral:pre_miRNA from 1 species
CCCUUAACUAUUAAAAGUUUCUUUUUGGUUCCUUAACUUAUUUUUUGGUUUCGUUUUGGUCACUUAACUUAUUUUUUGAUUUCGUUUUGGUCCUUAACUCUAAUACAUUCAUCCUAACAUAAAGGACCAAAGUGGUUGACGGAGAAAGAGUUAAGGGACCAAAACGAAACCAAAAAGUAAGUUAAGGGACCAAAACGAAACUUUAAUAGUUAAGGGA